UACGUAGGGGCCUAGCGUUGUCCGGAAUUAUUGGGCGUAAAGAGCUUGUAGGCGGUUUGUCGCGUCUGCUGUGAAAUUUCGGGGCUCAACCCCGAACUUGCAGUGGGUACGGGCAGACUAGAGUGUGGUAGGGGAGACUGGAAUUCCUGGUGUAGCGGUGAAAUGCGCAGAUAUCAGGAGGAACACCGAUGGGCGAAGGCAGGUCUCUGGGCCAUAACUGACGCUGAGAAGCGAAAGCAUGGGGAGCGAACAGGG
rnacentral:rRNA from 1 species